rnacentral:rRNA from 1 species
AACGAACGCUGGCGGCAUGCCUAACACAUGCAAGUCGAACGAGACCUUCGGGUCUAGUGGCGCACGGGUGCGUAACGCGUGGGAACCUUCCCUUAGGUUCGGAAUAACUCCCCGAAAGGGGUGCUAAUACCGGAUAAUGUCUUCGGACCAAAGAUUUAUCGCCUUUGGAUGGGCCCGCGUUGGAUUAGCUAGUUGGUAGGGUAAAAGCCUACCAAGGCGACGAUCCAUAGCUGGUAUGAGAGGAUGAUCAGCCACACUGGGACUGAGACACGGCCCAGACUCCUACGGGAGGCAGCAGUGGUGAAUAUUGGACAACUGGCGAAAGCAUGAUCCAGCAAUGCCGCGUGAGUGAUGAAGGCCUUAGGGUUGUAAAGCUCUUUUACCCGGGAUGAUAAUGACAGUACCGGGAGAAUAAGCUCCGGCUAACUCCGUG